rnacentral:miRNA from 1 species
ACGGAUGUGGAGGGCGUUUACA